rnacentral:lncRNA from 1 species
GUGGAUCACCUGAGGUCAGGAGUUCGAGACCAGCCUGGCCAACAUGGUGAAAGUCUCUCUCUACUUAAAAAAUACAAAGUUAGCCAGGCUUGGUGGCACAUACCUGUAAUCCCAGCUAGUCGGGAGGCUGAGGCAAGAGAACUGAUUGAACCUGGGAGGCAGAGUUGCAGUGAGCCGAGAUCGGACCAUUGCACUCCAGCUUGGGCAACAAGAGCAAAACUCCAUCUCAAAAACAGAAAACAAAACAAAACAAAAAACCUAUCAAACUCCAGGAGUAUUAGGAAGAGUAAUCUGAGAUUCUGUCCCCGGUCUGAGGACCCAGGGAGCAUCUAGGAAUGGAGAAGCCAUUCUCUUUUCUGCUUCCCAAACAGGACAGGAAGUCAGUAAGUAGGAUGUGAGGACUCCUGCCCACAAUGUUCCCAUAUGAUUAGCCUAAUUCCUUAUCUUCUCUUCUAUUUUCCAGAUAAACACGAUGAACUUGAAGCUCCCUCAAUGAAAACAGACACCAGAGCCAUCUUUGUCAGCAUCUUCAGCUGCAUCUCCAUCCUUCUCCUCUUCCUCGUCGUCAUUGUCAUCUACAGAUGCAGCCAGAACGGUUCAUCACCUGAAGAAUCCACCAACAGAACCAGUCAUUCCAAACUUCCAGAACGAGAGGCUGCUGGUAAGGGAUAGGGGAAGUCAAGGGGAUAACUAGACAGAAAGACUAAGUUCUGGCCGGGCGUGGUGGC